ACCCUCUCAGAAUCACAUCUGGAGAGUUUCCAAUACUCUACCAGUCUCGGCUAGGGGAGGGAGAGUCAAGCAGAGGCCUACCCAUUCCAUUCCUAGCUUCGGCCGUGGCUAGCAAGAGGAAGGUAAUCUGCUACAAGU